rnacentral:rRNA from 1 species
GGCGUGACGACGAGGCACUACGGUGCUGAAGCAACAAAUGCCCUGCUUCCAGGAAAAGCCUCUAAGCAUCAGGUAACAUCAAAUCGUACCCCAAACCGACACAGGUGGUCAGGUAGAGAAUACCAAGGCGCUUGAGAGAACUCGGGUGAAGGAACUAGGCAAAAUGGUGCCGUAACUUCGGGAGAAGGCACGCUGACACGUAGGUGAAGUGAUUUACUCAUGGAGCUGAAGUCAGUCGAAGAUACCAGCUGGCUGCAACUGUUUAUUAAAAACACAGCACUGUGCAAACACGAAAGUGGACGUAUACGGUGUGACGCCUGCCCGGUGCCGGAAGGUUAAUUGAUGGGGUCAGCGCAAGCGAAGCUCCUGAUCGAAGCCCCGGUAAACGGCGGCCGUAACUAUAACGGUCCUAAGGUAGCGAAAUUCCUUGUCGGGUAAGUUCCGACCUGCACGAAUGGCGUAAUGAUGGCCAGGCUGUCUCCACCCGAGACUCAGUGAAAUUGAACUCGCUGUGAAGAUGCAGUGUACCCGCGGCAAGACGGAAAGACCCCGUGAACCUUUACUAUAGCUUGACACUGAACAUUGAGCCUUGAUGUGUAGGAUAGGUGGGAGGCUUUGAAGUGUGGACGCCAGUCUGCAUGGAGCCGACCUUGAAAUACCACCCUUUAAUGUUUGAUGUUCUAACGUGGACCCGUUACCCGGGUUGCGGACAGUGUCUGGUGGGUAGUUUGACUGGGGCGGUCUCCUCCUAAAGAGUAACGGAGGAGCACGAAGGUUGGCUAAUCCUGGUCGGACAUCAGGAGGUUAGUGCAAUGGCAUAAGCCAGCUUGACUGCGAGCGUGACGGCGCGAGCAGGUGCGAAAGCAGGUCAUAGUGAUCCGGUGGUUCUGAAUGGAAGGGCCAUCGCUCAACGGAUAAAAGGUACUCCGGGGAUAACAGGCUGAUACCGCCCAAGAGUUCAUAUCGACGGCGGUGUUUGGCACCUCGAUGUCGGCUCAUCACAUCCUGGGGCUGAAGUAGGUCCCAAGGGUAUGGCUGUUCGCCAUUUAAAGUGGUACGCGAGCUGGGUUUAGAACGUCGUGAGACAGUUCGGUCCCUAUCUGCCGUGGGCGCUGGAGAACUGAGGGGGGCUGCUCCUAGUACGAGAGGACCGGAGUGGACGCAUCACUGGUGUUCGGGUUGUCAUGCCAAUGGCACUGCCCGGUAGCUAAAUGCGGAAGAGAUAAGUGCUGAAAGCAUCUAAGCACGAAACUUGCCCCGAGAUGAGUUCUCCCUGAGACUUAGAGUCUCCUGAAGGAACGUUGAAGACGACGACGUUGAUAGGCCGGGUGUGUAAGCGCAGCGAUGCGUUGAGC